rnacentral:rRNA from 1 species
UACAGAGGUCUCAAGCGUUGUUCGGAUUCAUUGGGCGUAAAGGGUGCGUAGGCGGCGCGGUAAGUCGGAUGUGAAAUCUCGGAGCUUAACUCCGAAACUGCAUUCGAUACCGCCGUGCUUGAGGACUGGAGAGGAGACUGGAAUUUACGGUGUAGCGGUGAAAUGCGUAGAUAUCGUAAGGAAGACCAGUGGCGAAGGCGGGUCUCUGGACAGUUCCUGACGCUGAGGCACGAAGGUCAGGGGAGCAAACGGG